ensembl:lncRNA
GAAUCAAGAAAAAAAUUAAAGAUUUGAUUGAAACUGGUCCUUGGUUAGUGAAGUUGUAUUUGGCAGAUAAUGGCAUAGAUGGAAAGGGAAAAGAAGGAGAAAAUGACUUGUUGGAAUUCACUCAAAUACUAACAUGCCUGAUCAAAUACUCUGCCCACUUAGAGGAGAUUGACCUUGGAAACAAUGCCCUGGGAGAAAAGGCUGCUGUUGACCUACUUGAAGCACUGAGAGCCAGAAAGACAGGUAAACUGCCAGUUUUAAAAAUUACAGUCACUCCCCAGAUCUCUUCAGACACCUUCAGAUCUAUUUGGAAAAACAGCAAGAAAUCUAGUAUUACCCAUAAAAAGAAGAAAAAGGCUAAAAACUGAAUACGAAUGCCAUGUAUCCAUAUGGAUUCUAUCUAUUUCCAUGGACAAUGAGAUGUGCCUGGAAAAAUAUUGCUUAUAACCAAG